rnacentral:rRNA from 1 species
CCUACGGGGUGUAGCAGUGAGGCAUAUUGGUCAAUGGGCGCAAGCCUGAACCAGCCAAGUCGCGUGAGGGAUUAAGGCCCUGCGGGUCGUAAACCUCUUUUCCCGGGGAGCAGAGGUCCGGACGUGUCCGGUCCGGGAUAGUACUCGGAGAAAAAGCAUUGGCUACUUCCGUGCCAGCGGCAUCGGUAAUACGUGGGAUGCGAGUGUUAUCCGGAUUUAUGGGGUUUAAAGGGUGCGUAGGCGGGCAUUUAGGCCGCCGGUACAAUGUCGGGGCUCAACGCCGGCCUGCCGUCGGAACUGGGUGCCUUGAGUGGGCGAGAAGUAUGCGGAAUGCGUGGUGUAGCGGUGAAAUGCAUAGAUAUCACGCAGAAACCCGAUUGCGAAGGCAGCAUACCGGCGCCCUACUGACGCUGAGGCACGAAAGUGCGGGUAUCGAACAGGAUUAGAUACCCUUGUAGUC